GCUGGAGCCACCUGGCUGGCCCUUUCAGGAUUUGUGGCCUUGAGCUGGGCCCUGGUGCUGGAGGUCGGGGAAGUGGAAGGAAGACGGUCUGGCCAGAGAAUGAAAGAACCAUAGGUUCCCUGGGAGCUGUACUUAGGGGACAGUAUGCCCCCGAGAGGCAGUAACCAGUAGUAGUCUUCAGAUGCCUCGAGCUCAGGGACGAACUCUCUUCUCCUGACCCCUCCGGGCUAGCUGCUCAGGGUAGACCCACUCUCUUCCGGAAGGUGGGGGAUGACAGUGAGGGAAUCACUUGCCGUUUGCUUGGCCCAAGGCUCAGACUCUCAGGGUUGACUUUUAAGUUAGUUUCAUAUGAGCUGAGGGGCCUACUUUCAAAAAGGAAGCACCAGACCAUUGGCCUCAACAUUUGAGCAGGAAACAUCAGAGUAGAAAGGGAUUUUGAAAACAGUGUAAAGUUACCUUGAGAAACCAUUCAUUUCAGUACAUUUGUCAGAGGAUACUUUGCUGGUCUUUCAACCCUUAAUGAUCCACGGUGAGAGUUUCAUGGAGUAUGCAAGACAUUGCUCUCCAAGCUGAGUGAAAUUCCAGCUGUGGCCCCUGGAAGCCAUGUGGAGAUGUGGGUGCAUUCCUUCAGCUACAGGCACAGAAGCCAGUUCACUUGGCCACUGAAGGUCCUGUUUCCGUGUGAUGUGGAGCCUGAUGAAUAUGUGGCCUCCCCUCUAGGAAUACGCCUGGGCUGCCUUUGCACACACUUACUUCAGCUGGCCUUGAACUCAAAGAUAAUCGCUUCUGUAACAAGUGAAUCACAGCCUCUCCUCCCUGUGCAAACAAGAGAACUAGGUAUGUUCUACUCAGAGGCUAGUAAAAUCCCUCUGUCAGUUUUCCCUUUCCUUUCUUCUACGUACUCAUUAUAGAGCAUAUGUUUAAAGAGUCCCCUUCUUCACUGUAAUCAGCCUCCCCCUCCUUCCUGAUUCAUUUGUGGAAGGGAUUGUGGGGCCACAAGCAUCAGAGUCUUCCCUGAAUGAUUCAGGCCAGCUGAGCUCACUGUUUAGCUCGGCACUUACCCAAGAUAUUAGUGACUAAAUGGCCCAGACACUCUUAUGGAGGAAGCACAGCCAUAAGCCACAGCAUUGAAGGAGUUUCAAUUGCUGCAGGCAGGCCUUGGAGAGCAAUGACCAGAGUUGACUUCAGGUGGCUGCAGGGCCUUCCUCAGUGGCACUGGCAGACGGGGACCCAGAGGGAAAAUAGUAAAGGGUGCCUGGCACAGUAGGAUGGCAAAGGUCAGAUGUCAUCUGUGUGUGAGAGAGAAAGAGAGAGAGGUUU
rnacentral:lncRNA from 1 species